UCCAACCCCUCCCAUCUGACAGAACUGAACCUGGGUGACAACAAUCUGCAGGAUUCAGGAGUGAAGCAGCUGUGUGGUUUUCUGGAGAGUCCACGAAGUAGACUGGAGACUCUGAGAUUGAGUUGGUGCAGUUUGUCAGAGAUCAGCUGUUCUUCUCUGAGCUCAGCUCUGAAGUCCAACCCCUCCCAUCUGAGACAACUGGACCUGAGAGACAACAACCUUCAGCAUCCAGAUGUUCAGCAGCUGUUGGAUCUUGUGGAGAGUCCAGACUACAGACUGCAGACUCUGAGAUGGAGGUGGUGACGUUUGUUGUGGAGAGCUGAACAUGAUGGUGUGUUUGUGGGAGAAGAUGAGCUGUGUCCUGAUGAUCCACAGAGGUUGAAGCAGCAGCAGCUUGUAUGCAGACACUCUGACUGGACUGUUUCUGCUUCUUCUGUUUCCUCAUCCACACU